CCGAGUUUACAACUCCCAAACCCCUGUGAACAUACCAUUUGUUGCCUCGGCGGUGCCUGCUUCGGCAGCCCGCCAGAGGACCCAAACCCUUGAUUUUAUACAGUAUCUUCUGAGUGAUACAAGCAAUAAAUUA
rnacentral:misc_RNA from 1 species